UCGAUGGAGAGUUUGAUCCUGGCUCAGGACGAACGCUGGCGGCGUGCCUAAUACAUGCAAGUCGAACGGGGUCCAUCCGGUGGCAACACCGGUGAAGACCUAGUGGCGAACGGGUGCGUAACACGUGAGCAACCUACCCCGGAGACCGGAAUAACAGCGGGAAACCACUGCUAAUGCCGGAUGCCCCCACGAGCCCGCAUGGGCUUGUGAGGAAAGGGUUUCCGCUUCGGGAGGGGCUCGCGGCCUAUCAGCUUGUUGGUGGGGUAACGGCCUACCAAGGCGACGACGGGUAGCUGGUCUGAGAGGACGAUCAGCCACACUGGGACUGAGACACGGCCCAGACUCCUACGGGAGGCAGCAGUAGGGAAUCUUGCGCAAUGGGCGAAAGCCUGACGCAGCAACGCCGCGUGGGGGAUGAAGGCCUUCGGGUUGUAAACUCCUUUCAGUGGGAACGAAAAUGACGGUACCCACAGAAGAAGCCC
rnacentral:rRNA from 1 species